GAUGAACGCUAGCGGCAGGCCUAAUACAUGCAAGUCGGACGGGAUUCUGGAGCUUGCUUCUGAUGAGAGUGGCGCACGGGUGCGUAACACGUAUGUAACCUACCUUUAUCAGGGGGAUAGCCUCUCGAAAGAGAGAUUAAGCCCGCAUAAAAUCACAGCACAGCAUUGUGUAAUGAUCAAAUAUUUAUAGGAUAAAGAUGGGCAUGCGGAACAUUAGCUAGAUGGCGGGGUAACGGCCCACCAGGGCGACGAUGUUUAGGGGAUCUGAGAGGAUGGCCCCUCACACGGGUACUGAGACACGGACCAGACUCCUGCGGGAGGCAGCAGUAAGGAAUAUUAGGCAGUGGGCGGGAGCCUGAGCCAGCCAUGCCGAGUGCAGGAAGACGGCCCUACGGGUUGUAAACUGCUUUUAGACGGGAAUAAACCCAGAUACGUGUAUGUGGCUGAAGGUACUGGAAGAAGAAGGAUCGGCUAACUCCGUG
rnacentral:rRNA from 1 species